rnacentral:lncRNA from 1 species
CCAUGUUUGGUUUGAUAUUUCUUCUACAACUCUUAUUUAAAGACUAUAAAAAGACUAAAAAAAGUCUUGUGGCAAAUUAUCGUAAUAUAGUAAUAAUAUUUUAAUGAAGUUGAAACAUUCAAACUCGCAUUAAGAAAGGAAAAUGCUCUGUAACACAACGAUUGAGAUUUGAAAUAUCCAAACUCUUAUUAAUAAAAACAUUCCAGGAUGUCAAUACUCAAUAGAAUAUCAAGUUCAUACUUUUAUUAUAGCAGCAUUUUUAAAAUAUGUCCGAAUCAACCGGACCUAAUGCAGCUGUCAAUUGUCAUUAGCAUCCUCUAUAUAUUAAGUGAAAAACAAAAUAGAAAUGCACCUCUGUAUUUUGUCGAAAAAGAAAGAAAAAAUUCAGCUCUUAUUCCGUAAAUAUUUACAUUUCAUGUCAGUACUCCAACUUCAUAUUUUUAUACAUCAAUACAUACAUUUUUUAGAAACCUUUUGCAGACUCGUUGCCUCUAUUAUAAGGCAAAAACAUUCCUUCAAACCCCAAAAUAUAAUCAAAAUUAAAAGGCUAUAUCUUUGGAAAUAUAAGUUUGGUUAAAUGGUUACCUAGUCCAAAAUUCGCUCUUGAGAUUACGGUUCUAAAUUCUCAUUUCUUUCCAUCUAUUACUGUUUUUGGGACACACGUUGUUUGUAAUGAUGCCACAUUUUCUUUGGGGCUUUGGACUCCCAAAACUAUGGGACAUCAUUGACCUUUUACAUCUUCUAUAUAUCGUGCUAGAAUAUCCUCCACAUUUUGUUUGUAAUUACAGCGUUCAUUAAACGAACAGGACUAACGCCUUACUCGAGAACCGGCACCUUAAGGUCUUCCUUCUUCGUCCAGUCUUCCUGAUGAAUAACCUCCUCAUUCAUAUAAUAUUCUUAUAUAUACGCUUUUACUAUAGUUUUAGACGUCUGUUACAAUUAAAGAUAUAAUAUUUUAUUUUCAACGUAUAUUUUUCGGCCUAUACACAACAUUGUUCAUUAGUGGAGAAAUGAAUCGCACGUUUGCGUGUCAUACCCUACGACCCCACGUCCCUACCCCGGUGGUGCUCAAAUAUGGUUGGGGUGGGGAAGAAUCCAAUUAAGAUGUAAUAGUAUAAAUCAGAAACUCAGCACAUGGCACGACCUCACCAGUCUCGUAGAAAUGAUAAGUUUUUUGGUCAUAUAUAGUAUAUUAACAAUUGAAUAUUUAAAUCUUUUAAUUCUUUUUAUAUAUUUUAUCAAUGAUAUGCUUGGUCUAACACAGUUAAUGUUACAAUGCGGAGUUUUUGCAAAAAGACACCACAUUGCAUAAUCCUAAUUUGAAAUGCUUUCUAUUUAUGUCAGAAUAUCUUCUAGGAUGGUAUUACAUAUAUCUACAUAUAGGCUAAGAAUGGGAAGCUGUAAAAACAUGGUUCAACCACCCGGUGAAUGUGCCACAUGUGUAUUUGCCAUUCAUCAACUUUGAUUUUAUAAAAUGUGUUUCCUCUUUUUUAAUAAUAAAAAAUUAAUGAACCACUAGUGGUUCAAUUUUACAAAGAAAAAUUAAGUUAUGCUAUGAACAGUAGAUAUACAUCAUUUAACUAGUGUUAUAGUGAAUAAUAAGCAGUUCUUGAUUUUUAAUAAUAAAUAUAAAUAAAUAUUGAUAAUUUUAUCAUUAUAAGAACAACAAUAUUUGUUAAAUGAAAUGUGUUCCAUCUUGCAAAAUCAUAGUCAACAUAUUGAAUUGAUGUGUAGUUAAUAUCAAUGUCAAAAGUUCAAAACUAUUAUACUACUUUGAUGUGUUGGUUAAUAUUAAACUCAAAAUUAUCAAAUUAUAGUAUUUUAAAAUCAUUAUAUUUGUAUAUUUAAUUUAAAAUCCCAAAAUAAUUCUAUAUAUAUGUUUGAAUUAAUUUUAUAUAGUAUUUUGAAUACAAAUAUAAAGAAAUUAUGUUUAUGACAUUAUAACUUAUUUUUAAAUGAUUACUUUAAAUACUGAAAAUAGUUAUUUUAAAACUAUAAAAAUUAUGUUUAUGACAUUAUAAUAAUUUUUACAUUAUUAAUUUUAAUAAUGAAAAUAUAUAUUAAAAAUAAAUUAUAAUAAAAUUAUACAAUAUUUUGAACCGAUUUUUAUCUAUUUUCACCAUUCAAACCUAUGUUUUGAAGCGCUAGACCUGCUUGAUCUGUUCGAUCCGCUUGAUCCGCUUUUGAUCUGCUCGAUCCGCUUGAUCCGCUUUUGAUCUGCUCGAUCCGCUUGAUCCUCUUUUGAUCUGCUCGAUCCGCUCGAUUCGUUUGAUCCACUAGAUCCGCAACGCUUGGUCCGCUUUUUCCAUUUGGAAACCUUGAAAAAAUGUUUUAUUAGUACAUUUCCAAAUCUCGCCUAUGAAUUGACACAACCAUACAGACACCUUAUUAAAAAAAUUAACUAACCAAAUACAGUGCUCGGAUAUAGUACUGUUCUAGCAUAGCCAGUCUUGGGCCAAACCAGAUAAAACAUCCACCUCCAUCCCCCAAAAAUUUUGAAAACAAUUAUAUAUAAAUAGGUUCCAAAAUUUGUAAAAAAAACUUUUAGGCCCUCAAACUAUAAAAAUCAAUUUUAAACCGUCUAUAUCCCCCUCCCAAAAUCUCAAAACUGGCCAUGUGUUCUAGUAUAUGAACCUAAUCAGCUCGAACCGCCGAGCAUGUAUCUAAGCCAUCACUAUCUCAAGUUAGACACUUCUGUAAAUAUUUCUUCAUUUGUUACAAUAUAUAGAGAUAAAAAAUUCACAUAUCGGAUUUUUUCUUGAAAUUUGUUCUCUCCCGUUCUUUCAUAAAAUUAAUAAAAUUUCAGACACAGCCAUAGUCGUUGCCAUCAAUAUUUCAUAUGUUAUUAUAAUCAAUAGAAUUAAAGCUUAUAUGAUGAUGUGCCCAGUGAUAAAAAAAAAGUAAUCAACAUUCCCUUGUUUUAAUGUCUGAUUUUAUGCAUUAAUUCACAUUCUUAUAUAUUUUAUGAAAACUAUUUCUGAAAAUAUUUAAAAGAACAUAUAUAAAAUAAAGUUAAGAUGACAUAUAUAAUUUUGAAACUCAAUUUAGCAAAAAAAUCACUUUAAGAAUAGCUAAAACUUUUAAAUAUAAGAAAACAUAUAAAAUAUAAACUGUAUGCUUUUUACAAAUUUCACAAAAGACAAGGUUUUACCUAAAACUCGGAAUCGAAUUUCAAUGUGAAAAAUUUGUAUUAAUUGAGAUAGGGUGGCCGUUCGGUAUCAUUUGUGUUUGUUUCAGAUUCUUAGGUUUUCAUAUUUUUGUGUUUAUUUUCCUAGGUUCAGUUCGAGUUUUAUAUAUGUUCAGAUCAGGUUUAUUUAAUAAUACUUCUGAUUAUUUUAUAACUUUGUCUAAAACUCAUUUUGGAUUUAAAUUUAUUUUGGAUUUGGUUAAUUUCAAAAUUCAUUUUUUUUUUACAGCAAGACAUUCACAGACUCAUGUUGACUCUAUAAACCAAAUCGGCAACUCCGCAUCCAUAUGAACGACGAAAGAUGGUUGUUUCCUAGCACUACGUGCCAAGCUAUCCGCCCUUUGGUUCUCCGUCCGGGGUACAUGGAUGAUGUCUGAGUUGAGGAAGCUUCUUCGUAAAAGCUUGAUAUCUUCCAGGUAGCUUUCAAAUGCUGGCCAUUCUUCUGGUUCUGAAACCAUCUUCACCAAUUGAGAACAAUUUGUUGCAAACGUAACCUGAAACUGUCGUAAGUUCUUCAUACAUUCCAUUGCCCAAAUCAACGCCUCCACCUCCGAGUGAAGAGGUGAUAGACAUGCCCUUACAUUCUUUGCUCCUAGUAAACCAUCAAAACCCGGUAAGGUACUAUACCAUCCUUGUCCCGAAAAUAGCUCUUUUUCCUUCCACGAACCAUCUAUGAAACACCAUCGUCCUGUAGUUCUAAUAUAGGUCUGGUCUGUACUUGCCGCUCCCUACUUUGAGUAGUGAUUACCUGUGCUUCAGCCCAAAGUGUCGAUUCUAGUUCUGCUAAUCGAAGUGUUUCCCUUGGAUCAAUAUCCAGAUUAUUAAACAUUUUAUUGUUCCUACCUUUCCAUAUAUACCAUAAUAUCCAUGCGAAUUGGUGAUCAUCCAUUUUUGGAGUAACUCUCCAAAAGAGAUGAUCCAUGUUAUCAAAAAACGAACAAGUAGGAAAAUAGUUCUGAUUCGAUGGUAUCUUAGAUAAGACCCACACUUGACGUGCUGGAGGGUAUUCAAAAAACACAUGAUUUAUUGAUUCCUCCGGGUCUCCACAUCGAGCACAACAAAUAUCUCUUUGUAUCCCUCUCCCACAAAGAUUCUUCAUUACCGCUAUACAACCCGAAAGGAGUUGCCAUAGGAAAUGCUUUAACUUCGGCGGGCACCGCACUUCCCAACAGAAAGCUUUUAACGUAUCCAUUGUGGGUUCAUAAAAAUCUGGUGGUUUUUCCUUAUCAGGAUAGACCCGUUCCACUUGAUACCCUGAUUUAACCGAAUAUUUCUCAUUAUUAGUAAAAUGCCAUCCAUUCCUAUCUUCCAUCUGGUGUCUACUUAAUGGAAUACUUUCAAUAAUUUUUGCAUCAUGAAGAUCCACCAAAGCUCUAAUUACCUCAAUAUUCCAAGUUCGGGAUUUCAAAUUAACGAGGGAUUCCAAAUUAAUUUCAAAAUUCAUAUUCCGGUAUUUAUAGUAUCAUAUGAAAAUAAAUGUUGAAUUGAAACAUUUUAAUUAUUUAGUUAGGUUCUGAAAACUAUCAUGGAUAGUAAUUUGGAUUUCUGGUUGCUUUUUCUCUGAGGUGCUUAGGUUAUUCAAUUUUUUGAGUUUGUCUGGUCAUUCAUUCGAAUUUGGCUAAUAACACUUCAGAUUUAGAUAUAUGUAAUAUCAUCAUGCAGAUCCAUUUGGAUUUUUCACAGCUCGGGUACAGAUUCGGAUUUAGGUUUUUGGUACGGGUUUGGAAUUGAAAAAAGAACAAGAAAAAGGUGAUUUUUUCUAAUCAAGAACUGUUUUACCGAUGAUGCUCGUGCAUCGGUGUUGCUCCACGACGCCUCUAUUUCGUUCCAUCCAGACCAUGCAUCCAGAUGUGGUUCAUGGAAUUUGGAAAGCAAAUGGAAGAAGAAAUAUACAUGUUGCAUUAUUCCUAGAAGGUGUGAUCCUAUUUUUUUUUUUUUGACGUCGAAGUGUGAUCCUAUUUACAAAGACUUUCCCAUCACCGAAUUAAGAUGUGUCAUAAAUUAGAUGUAAUAUCUUACUAGACCUUGACCCGCCCGACCGGGCGGGUAUUUAUUUUAUGUUUUUAGUUUUUUUUUUAUAUUAAAUGAUGUAUUUGUAAUAUUGAAAAAUAAAUUUAUAUUGAAAAUUAGUCUUUGCACUUAUAAUAAAAAUUAAAAGUUAAAUAAAAUAUUCUGAUAUAAAUUUUAAAUUUCAUAAUUAAAAUAAUAUAGUGGCGGUCAUAUUUUUUUCCAAUUUCAAAAUCUAAUCUUCCUUAAAGACAAAGAAAAUAAAUUUAUAAAUACAUAAAAUAUAUAAACAUAUUUGGAACUAUAAUUUCAAUUAAAAUAAAUUUGUUAAAGAAAAAUAAUCUUACUGUUAUUAUUUAUUUCUAGAGCUUGACCCGUGACCGUAUAAAUAUUUGCUUUCACUUUAUUUUUUUUCUUUGUACUAAUGGUAUAAUAUAUAUAUGUAAAUUAAAAUAUAUUACAUAAUUGUUAAUAUAACAUUUUUAAACAUAACAAUUUUAUUUAUUACUUUGAAUAAUUAUAUUUUUUUAUUUUAAUCGUCUAUUAUAUCACAAUGUAUCAUAUAAACAAAAUUCAAUAUUUAUAACUAAUUGGACUUAUAUUAUGACAGCAUUAUACUAAUAUAUGAAUAAACUAUUUUAUAUUUUAUUUAUAUGUUAUAUAAAUUGAUUAUGAUGUGUGAUUUUUUAUUUUAUUAUUUAUUACUUAUAAAUAUUAAAAAUAUUGAGUAUGUUAAUACGAAAUAUAUUAGGAAAUUUAUUUUGGUUAUGAUUUGAUAAAGAAAAUCUAUUAUUUAAAUUUUGGAAAGAUAUUAAAUUCUUAAAUCUAUUAUUUAAAUUAGGAAAAGACAAGCAUGCUUAAAUAUAGGUUCAAUAAAUAUCUUAAUAGCAUUCUAAUGUAAAUAAGUAGUAAAACUAAGGGAUAUUUCUAUUUUGUACUUCUCUUUUAAUAAUAUAGAUGCACAACCCCUUAUGGAAUUAAGAUGUAAUAAAUCGUAAAGAUCGGAAACUCGGCACAUGGCACGACCUCACCAUCCUCGUAUAAAUGAGGAGGUGCUAUUAUAAAAAGACCAAUAAAUUUGUGUUAUAUCUGGCGAUUAAUAUAUUCAAAUCACAUUAGGAAUUAGGGCAAUGAUAAGUUCUUAUAAUAGAUUCUAGGGAGAUAUUGACACGGUCACACUUUUCUUAAAGUUCAUGACCAUACGAAAACAACACAUACUAAUAAGUUGUUGAAAAAAAAUUCUUAUUUGUGUAAUUUAUUCGAAUCAAGAGGCACUACGUGGAGUACGAUACACAAAUGGGCAGAUAUCAUCAUGUGAUUCGAAAAAACUGACCAACCAAAAUAGUGGUCAGACUUGCAAACUAGUGUCCAAGUAAAGAGAAAUCAGUUUGCCUCGAACCCAAGUGCGUUAGUUUUAUAAAUAUUUCCUUUCACACGAUAUAUAUAUGGAGAUCCAAAACUCAGCCAUCAGUUUCACUUUCUCUUAAAAUUUGUUCUCUCUCUCUUGUUCUAUCCGUACAUCUAGUUAAGAUUCAAGUGUAAAUCACUGUUUUCUGUGUACUUGUGAUUGAACAAUUUUCACUAUUAGUUUUACAAAAAAAUAAUCCAAAAUCGAACAGUUUAAUCUGUUUUUCUUACACAAACUUAUUGAAAAUCAAAAAUGUUACAACAUCAUUUUUUUUCUUUCAUAGAAGAAAAUACAACUUCCUGGAAAAACAAGAACUGAAAUGAAAAAUAUAAUGACAAUGAAUGUCAAGAAGGUGGCUUAUAAUAAGCAUAAACAGCAUAAAUUUGUUUUUUUUCUUUCAUAGAAGAAAAUACAACUUAUUGGAAAACAAGAACUGAAAUGAAAAAAUAAAAUGACAAUGAAUGUCAAGAAGGUGGCUUAUAAUAAGCAUAAACAGCAUAAAAGCUCUGGACUAAUGUGAGCACUAGCAGGAUCACUGCAGCGAAAAAUGAGAAAUAUGCCCAAGGGUUAUUGAAGUACCUGUGUUUUAAAGUAGCCUUCAAAGCAUUCCACCUACGGCUAUAGUAAUAGUUAACCUCAUCAGACAGUUUAGAUAAAUAACUAUCUUUGGGAUCGAAAAACACUUCCUGACAUAGCCGGUUGAACAAAUCCGCAACUUCAGCAUCACUCCCUAGCCAAUGUUCAAUGAUACCACAGUAGUGCAAGUAGCUAACAUCUUCAGAAGAAUUUAUUAGAUUAUCCAUGAAAAUUAUGUAUGAUGUUAUGUCCUUGGUCGAGUCAAUAUGGCAUUGUUCGAAAGCUAUAAGAUUCGAAAAGAGGGAUUUGGUACCUACAAUAAACACAAGGAGGGUUCCAUGAAAUUUUAGUUUUUAUACAAAAUAAAACAACAGAAAGUUGAUCAUGAGGCUGCGUAACUGGAAUACCAUUUUUCUGGAUCUAGAUAUUACAUUAUGAUUCCUAACAAAUAUAUUAUUUGUAAAAAUACAUAUAAUACAAGAAGUAGAUGUAACAAGUUUAGUGGAUGAUGGAUAAAGAAAGAAAUUAAAUAGUUAAAUAUAUAUAUGUGGACUGAACUAUAAAAUCUAAAAAACCAGAAAUAAAUAAACGAAAACGUUGUGACUUACCGUCGUGGAUUAGUAGUUUGGGUAUCUCUAGACAACCGUGUUCGAACCGGAUAUCCCAAAACCUGUCGGUUUUCCUUGUCUUGAAUUUAACACCAGCUUCUCUUAGUUCCGUGACGCAAUGUACGAGUUGUUGUUGUCGCUUGUCCACCAGGUUCAACGGGAGCGGAUCCUCCUCAGACCUCGGAUUCGGUGUAUAACUAAACUUGAGGAGGCUUCGACGGAAAACAUCUAGACAGUGCAAGUCACCAUUGUCGCCAAGUGAGUUCAAGGAUCUUUCCAGCCAGGGCUUGAGUUUUGACGGGUUCAAUCUGGUAGAGGCCUCUCCUGUUGGCAUUAGUGGAUCAAAGAACUUAACGGCUACUUGUGCCACUAAACCGGUUUGGUUCAGUGUACCAAGCUGUAGCUCUAAUAACCGGUCUAGAACGAAGAGAGGUAGUUGAUUUUCCAGCAUUACCAUGUCACGUUGAAUUGAAUGCAUCAAUCCCCGCAUGGCGAAAACAGGAUCGUUGCGUGCAUAUCUGCUCAGCCAAAACAAUAAUAAUCAUAAGAAUGAGAUCGUAUCAUCACUAAUGUACAGGAUACGAUCAUAACUCUGAUGUUAAACAUGAUUUUAAAAUAUAGUAAAUAAUUAAAAUAAUAAUGAAAUUCAAAAUUUUAGAUAAUUGAAUGAACAUUAGACAACAAGUAACAAGACAAAACCGUAGGUUUAUUUAGACUUACCCGAUUGGCUGGAAUCCUUCCACAGUUCCCCUGAAGAGCUCUAGGACAAAACAGCCAUCAAGAACAAGCAUUUCUGUGAACUCAUUAACGCUUAAAGCAAUAGGCCCUUGGUAGCAAGCACGAGCCCUCUCCUCAAGCUCUUUCAUGGCAUCAAUAUAUAUUUCAAUGCCUUGCCCGGUGCGUGACAUGAUCAUGUUGACUGCACGCCACUUGUGAAACUCCAUGGGCAGAAGAUGUUUGUUGCCAUGAUGGUACGGACCUAGCGAGACGGUUUGAGGGAAGUAGGACUUCUUGUCGUUUUCUUGCAGGUGAAGUGGAACUCUAUAAAUACAGAGUUUGUCCCAACUAGUUGUGGAGCCGUCUCGAAGUGCUUGCUCCAUCUUGCCUUUCACUGAAAUCACCCAUUCUUCUCUUUGCUGCUCGUGGUUCUGCAAGCCAUUCUCUUGACCCAGUCCGUUAAUACCCGGUAAAGGUAAACCAAGGAGAUUCAGAUCUUGAACCGGUUGAGAUUGUCGGUUUCUUGUUUGAUCUCUCAUGCGUAGUAAGUACCAGGUCAACAUGCGUCUGUUGAUGAUAAUUGGUUGACCAUCGGUGUGAAGAUUAACUAAAACCAUUGUUCUCGCUGGUUGAAGUCGUUUCAGGAGAGUGUGAGCGAGAGGGAUAGGUCGAGAGUGUAACUGUGAAAUGUCAAAUAAACUGCUGAAAGUAAUUUAAAGCUGUGAUUUGGCCAUGUGUUUGCUUAUUUUUCAAACUAAAAAUCUCGUAUAAAAAGAUUUGUACUCUUAUAAUAAGACUCUCAUAAAUGCUUGUUAUUUCUAAAGUCAAUGAGUGAGAUUCAAACACCAAAACUCUUAUUAAAAAUAAAGACGCUAAACUCUUAUAAAAAGACUUAACAAAAUUCGUGUAACAUGCUCAAGGGAAAUUGCAAUACAUGAGAAGAAAUGUGAAAAAAAUUAGGAAAACAAUAUAUUAAAAAUCCAGAUUUGCAUCGAGUACGUGUUUUUUUUUAAUAUACGCGGUAUUUUCUUCCAUGUUCAAAACAAAUUUAGAAAGACAAAUAUGUCCAAGGGUUAUCAAAGUAUUUGUUUUUCAAGUUCGUCUUUAUAUGAUUCCAAACCUAAACGAGUCUUUAUUAAUUCAUAGAAAAGAGUAGAUGUAAGAUUUCGAAGGUAGUCCCAAAGUGGUUAGCAAAUGAAGAGUUAUUGUAUGUAUCAUUUAUGGAGUUAAAUUUAUUAUUUAUAUAAGAUGAGUGAUUGACAGUACGUACCAUUUAUGAGACUAUCAACAAGUAGUAUAUGAAUUAAGUUGUUUUAUUUACCGUCAAUAAACAAAUGCAAGUUUUAUUUGUAAAAUGAUUUUUGCUAAGGAUGUUUAGUACAACUCAUAUAGUUUAUUUAUAAAUUGACAUUUUACAUUAUAAAAUAUAACGAGUCUGUUCUUUUUUUUUUUAACUCAAUAGAUUUUUUAAAUUAAGAAAACGGGCCAAGCCCAAAUUACAAAGCCCAGAGCCCAGCAACCAAACCAAAAGGCGAUAGACCCAUAAACCAGAAGGCAAACAAACGAACCCAUUAAUCGGGCCGUCAGCCCAAACAUUAAAAACCGAGCGACGUCGGCCGAGUCACGCGUCGAGGAGGCUGGAUGGUGGACACGUGGAAGCAUCUAUACUAUCAGAAAGACACGCGUCGCCUCCGCCUCGACUUGACCGUCCCCGCCACGACUCACCGCCGGAACCACAUCACCUCACCAUCAUUUCGUCGGAGCUCAGAAACCGCAGAGCCUCCGCCGAAACCAUCUCUGUUCUUCAAACCUGUCUACCCGUCGGAGAGCUUCAUCGCUUCUUCGAAAUCUCAUCCGACUAGGCCAACGCUCCACCACUAGAGACAAACAAGAACCAACCACACCAAAUUCGAAACCCAAACACAAGGAACCGCCACGAAAUACUUAAAGCCGGCGACGCAAAGCUGUUGUAGCCCUCACCCUCCGGAAACUAGAGCCGAAACGGCGAAGCUGAAGAAACUUCCACCACCCGGAAACAAGGGCCGGCGGCGACGGAGCUGUGGAAGCCUCCAUUUCCCGGAAUCAAAACCCAAACUACAAUUUUCUUCACCACGCCAUAGCCUCGAAGCAACCGCGUCUUCACUCCAAGAACAGAGACACCACGGGUGGUGUUUCGCCAGAGCUCAGACAAGGCGGACGCCGGAGACGAUGGGGAGAAGACAAAGACCGGACAGUUUAAACUGAAAGACGACGGGUUCCGGCGACGGCACGCGCGCUCACGCGCCGGCCGUACGCCGAAACCAAUCUGAGAUCUACUUUCUCUCACUGCGUUUCUUUCUUUUUAACGAGUCUGUUCUUCUUCUCUCGUUUUUUUGACAAUACAAUUCUGGUUUCUUCGUAUUACUAAUCCCACCUAUUAAAAUAGACGGUUCUAUUUUUAAGUACAAAAAACUUUUGCUUGAUUCGCUACCACUUUUUUAUAAAACAUUCACGCUUUGUUGUAUAUAUUAACAAGCACUCGUGUAGUUGAUGUAUGUCUUCUUUAUAAAUGUAUGUCUUAACCUUUUCGAUGUAUACUAGUCUAAGGUGUGCACUUGAAGGAGCCAUGUUAUCUAAUGUGGCUCAUCAAACUUUAACAGAGUAAAAAGAAUAAUCCCAGACACCCCCCCCUCCCCACCCCCACACACACACAUUCAGUUUUACUUAAUUAACUGGUUCUGUUUUGAGGUUGAACAUAAUAAGUCUGCUAAGUUUGUUUCGUAUCAACAACUUGUUCCGCUCUCUUUACUGUAUUUAGUUCAAGCAGUAAAGUUACUUAGCAGACUUAGCAAAAAAAAAAGUUACUAUUUUGAAGCACGGUUACUUGAACCGGCUAUAAAGCGAAUUUUACGGUACGUUUGAUUUGGACUUUAUGAUUUUCAUGUUUCAACAUUUAAGCUAGACCUAGUUAUUGGGCCGAAGUUCAUAAAACGAAUCAUAAACUAAAAACAAAAACCUAGUAGAGGAAUAUUGUUUGGGUGGGCGCUUAAACCGAUUUUUUAACACCUAAAUCGAUUUUUAAUAAAUAGGUUUUAAAAAACCGAUUUGUUCAUAUCUGAUAUGAAGGCGCUGCCUAAACCAAUUUUUAGAAUAUUGGUUAGUAUAAUCUAAGAAGAUAAGUUAAGUUUUUAUGAUAUGUUAUAUUUAAGGUCAGUUAGCUACAUGAGCCCAAAAGUUUGCCAAAAGAACCCACUAGUAUAUAUUUGCAUAUUCAUUAUUCCACAUGAAUUUUCCUUUCGUAUAAAAAGAAGAAUAUCCAAAUUUUAUAAGUACAGUGAAACAUCUAUAAAUUAAUAAUGUUGGAACUACACCAAAACUAUAAUUUUUUUAUUAAUUUAUAGAAAUAUUAAUUUAUCGAUAUACUAAUUGAACCAAAAACUCAAUAUACGACUAUAAAAUUAUAUUAUUUUAUAGAGUUUUUUAGCGUAUAUUAAUUUAUAGAGUAUUAAUUUAAAGAAGUUAUACUAUAGGUCCAAUAAGUCCCAUGUUGAUCCCUUCAGACAAUGACAACUUGUUAGUUGCUUCCUUAAUUCCAGGUAAGUUACACAUAAAAUGCUAUAACACAAUAGUAGAAGAUAAACAUGGUAAAUCCACAAACAAUUAUGUUUCUCAAGCUGCGAACCUCAACAACGAAAUCUUUAAACUCUUUAUCACAACCGUAGACGGUAGUUUUCAUCUCUUCUAUCUCCUUCUCAAAUUCAACAAUGACGUCAUUCAUCUCUUUUAUCUUCUGCCCGUAGCUGUCCUUUAUAUCAUCAAUCUCUUCCACAACUGCUUCAUCUGUCCACUUAAGCAAAUGGUUUUUUUCCUUUUUUGAUCCAUUUGGACAACAAUGGAAAAGCCUCCCUGGAUUUUCAUAGGUUUUUGAAGUUCUAAUUAAAGAAGCUUCUCCACAUCUACAAGUUUUAGGCAUUCCUCUCUCCCCUUCAUCACCACAGUGUUUCCAUUCUGAACUCAUUCUUGCAUAAAUUUCACAUCAUAUUUCAAUUUGAAGAAGUAAAAAUAACCAUUUGUGAUGGAUUUCAAUUGCAUAAAUAGGCGUAAUCCCUCAAUCGAGCACAUCAUUAAUACAUUUACAUACCUGAAGCUGCAGAGGGAAUGUGAUUCUCUGGGGAAGAUAUUCCAGGCGUCGUGUUUGUCUUCGAGCAAUCAAAAACUCUUAGCGAUGCAGAAGAUUUGUGAAAGGGGACAAAUGAAAAGAAGAUUAUUUAAUUUGUUUUCACAAAAAAAAAACUAACAACAUGGUUUUGAUUACUUUCUCAAAAAAAAACAUGGUUUUGAUAACUACGGUAUAGUUUAUGAACAAAGACACAUGGCUCGGCCGCCAUGUCAUUUUCGGUUAAAAGGAUUGACUCAUAGAAUACGGUCAAAGCAUGUUUGAACAUGUUAGUUUUAGUUUAGAUAUAAAUUUAAAUACAAACCAAACAUGGAUAUGAUUUUGCAUAUGUAGUAUUACAAGACGGAAUCAGGACCACAGUUCCCCUCCCCAAACUUGUCUCCAAGAUUACACUAUUGUUCAUAUAUAAAAACAUAUAUAAUACCUGGUUUGAUCGGUUGCUUGAUUUUGUGUUUGUAUGUGUGAUAUAUAAUAUUUUUAUAGACAACAGAUCACAAUUUGCAAAGUAUAUUAUUAGAUUUUAUUUUAUUGACUUUAAACAGGGCAUGCCUUCCCUUGUAUAAAUUCCGAAUAGCAUGCAUAAUGCAUGCUUGAAUUCUACUAAUAAAUUAUAUGAAAAUUAAUCAAAGGCAUUAAGUGACGCAAAUUUACGAAUAUGAAAAAUGAAUAAAAAUAAUUAAGUGUGUUAAGAUCAUUGGUAUACUAGGUAUUUUGCAGUUUUUGACCCAAAAAAGGGUAUUUUGCAAUUUGAUUGUAAGGUUGUAAUUUGUUGCAUACUUUUUUUUGUAUUAAUUGUCUUCUUUUAGAAAUAGAAGGGAUGCAUGCAUGUUUUUUUUGGCAAAAGGAUGCGUGCAUGCAUGUUUUGAUGUUAAAAGAUGUAUUUGGAUUCAAAUUGUUUGUCCAACCAAGUAAAUACUCUGGAACCCCCAAACUGAUAAUCCAAUAAAUUUUUUUUUUGGUAAAAGAUAAUCCAAUAAAUUAGUCAAGGUAUGCAUAGCUUUUGUCCAUACUAAUAUAUCGCAUACUUAUAUAGUUGGCUUUGGAGUAGUUCUCGUUCAUUGAUUAUAUGGUGAAUCAUUGCUACUUGUGCAAAUUGUCAAACGGCGAUUUUAAUAGAAACUAUCAUGGAACAUUAUGUAAGAUGUGAUACGUUGAUUUUCAAUGGAAGCAAAUCUAUAUAUAUAUAUAUAUACUAUAAUAAAAGGGAUAUAUGAGGAGUAGGGAGGCUGUCCACGUCAGACAAUAAAAUCGACCAAUCAGGAGAUUCGUUUUUGACACGUCACAUCCUCUUUGUCGACAUGGGCCAAAUGUGUUAGCUUUUUCAAAAAAAUGUUUGUGGUCCAUCUGAGACCCUCUCUUUUGUGCGGAAACCCUGGGACUCCACUUAACCAAACUCUGCGUUUUAUGUUUUAGUUGAUUAAGGGUUUCAUUGUUCUCUUUCUUCGACCUUUCAGCCUUGCCGUCUUCGCUGAUUUUAACAUGCAAACCGACGAUUUGUUUUCUUAAGAGAAGAAGGAGCCAGUGCGCCGUAGGAUGGAGCAGACGGUGGCGUGGAUGAGAUGGCGGCUUUGGUGCGUCGUAGGGCACAGCGUAAGGAGAGGAAGUUGAUGACCGUACGGUGGAUUGUUUCCGUCGGAGGAGUAAGGUAGCUGAGGAGGUGGCUGUUGAUUUCCACAACCGUAACAGUAACCUGACAUCGCUGGAAACGAAAAGGUAAACACUUUUCAAAAGAGAUCGAAGAAGAGAAUGAUUUAGCCUUAAAGCUCUGUUUCUUUUAGUUUUUGAUAGACUUUUUUUCUUUCUACAUGACUUAGGAGAAAGAAGCAAAGAAAGAAGCUUUCAAGAAGUAUUUAGAGUUCAGUGGAGUUAUUGAUUCUCUCACCAAAGGUAUUGUUUCUUUUUGUACAUUACACCAUUACUAAAACAUAAUGCAACAGUUUAUGUAUCAAAUAGUUUGAUCGUUUUCUGACAUAAUAAUUUGAUUUAUACUCUUUCGUAUGUUCUGGAACACAAUGUGGGUUUCGAAUGUACUUCUGGUUGUUUUGUAUGAGCAGGAUGACAAGCAGUUCCUGGACACCUUUGUUUCCAACCAAUAUGUACACAGGUGAUCAUAGCUUUUAUGAACUUAAUCCACAUAUGACUUAUGUUCGUAUGAAUAAGAUCUAGGCCUUGCAGCACAGAUAGUUCAUGUGGUAAUUGCUGCAACUUUGUUGAAUUCCCCCGUAAACUUUUAACCGGUCAGGUACUGAUAACUUUCUCUGCUGAUAUACAUCUUCAGCUGUCCGUUUUUAUGAUCGUUAAUGGUUGAUUUCUGCAGGACAUGUCCUACAAAGAUCAGUCAAUACUGUAUGAGCCCAUCAAAGAGCUUGAUAUCAUGUUAAACCAAGUGAGUUAAAACCACCACCUGUGCCUUAUCAAUUCUGUUGAGGAAAUUUCAGACUUUUGUUUUGUUUAUAGACUGUUUUAGUAGAUGCAGGAGUUUCAGUAGAUAUAAUUUCAGGCGUGAAUGAUCCAGUAACUUUGCAUUAUCUCAGCAGGUUUGCAAAUACAUAACAAAAACUAGAAAAAAAAUGUUAGUAUGGACAUAUUAUCUUAAGGCCGUUUUCCUUUUCUACAGCCACCGAUCAGUUGCCUUUUCCCCCGAUCAGCACCUUAUAACACCUUCAGAUCAUGUAGAAAUCUUCACUCAUUUGAUGUGGAUAAUAUCAGGUAUGAUUACUGUACAUGAUGGACACAAUCUCUUAACUGUAGUUCAUUUUUUUAGCUAAACCUGUUGGGUUCUUUUUGACAUUUUCUUGCAGAUUUCUUGGAACUUAUGGUAAGAAAAUCAAUGACCUUCACAAGUACUCAGAAGCUAAAAGCAAGCUUGAUUUUGUCGAAAGAGCACUGAGGUGGAGACAUCUUGCUUCCACUGCACCUAAUACACUCAGUGAGAAUUCACCUCCCCCCUUGCAAAAUAUACAUUUUAAAACUUUUAUUUUUGAGUCUAUUGGUUGGAUUCACUUCUUUGCAGACUGUUAUCCUUUCACUGAUGGAGACUCUUUCGUGAUUGAAACUUGCCCUCAUGUCAUAAAUAUCACAACUGUUUGGUAAAAGGUACAAUCUCCUUCCAUAGAGAUUGAUUAUAUAAUUAUAUAAAUACAUGGUAGAUACUUUUUUUUUGUUUCUUGGGUCAAAUAGUGCUCUAAGUAUGCUGGGUAAUAUAUUAAUGUUGCAGGGUCAGAAGGUCAGCUGGUUAGGUUGAUCUGCAUUCCUAAAUUUUGUGAGAUCGGUAUUGCUGUUGCAGUGAGUUGAAAUUUGAGAAGAUACCAUCCUCAGUGGAAUUCAAUUCUUCUUUUGUAUCUCAAUUAAUCAAAUAUGGUUGUUCUUUGGCAGAAGAACUAAAGGAAUCUGGAGUGUCACACGCGUAGCUUUAACAUUCAGUUAUAAAGUUAAUCACAACACUGGAAAAUGUAGGUCUCUAGGUCAUACCAAAUAGAUAUAUGUUAUGUAUUUUCCAGAGAAAUACUUUUUGAGAUCUUUGGAAGUGUUAUUGUAUUAUUUCAUUACUUUGUAUAUAUAAUUUUAUAAAUUCCAGAGUUUUUUUUAGAAAACCAAACUAUUACAAUUCUAUAUUGUUCGAUGUUCGAAUAAAUUGUUAAAAUUAAACCUGAAUUUCAUAUCUCUUGCCUUACACUAUUUAAUUUAUAUACUAACAACUGCAUAAAUAAAUAUUAACCCAUAAAUCUCAGGUUUUGAACUUGAAACCGCUAAUAACGCUAAUGAUCGAUCAAAUCAUUACGAAGAUAAGAUAUGAAAAUAUCAACACAUGAGUUUACCGGUCAUUUUUAUAUUAACCUAAUCAAGCUGUUUCACUAUCAGUGUUCCAUUUAUCACCACUAUAGACAACCUUAGAGAAAAAAAAUAAAAAAAAAUGACAAUUCCGUACACAAAACUACACAAGGCAUCAAUAACUAAUCCAGAGACACUGCCAGGUCAGCCGUUUGUAAAAACGUAUCAUAUUUAAUUUUCUUUUUUUGUGUGUGUAUAUAUAUGUUUGUGUAAAAAAAUUUGUUGAAAUAAAUUUGAGAUUUAUUUAGCAAUUGCAUGGGUGGUGGCAAUGAUAAGUAACAACUAAAUUUGGUUUGGUCUUUCAAAUUAACUGAACACUAAUUAAUAAGUUAUUUAGUUAGAUAACAACUGAAUACGACAGUUUCUAAGUUUAUGAAAAAAUUAACCCAACAAAUUAGAUUGUAUCCAAUGAUAAAAAAAAAUAUUUUAGAAUGUAUUUACAACCAAUAAGGAGAAAAUAAAAGCCGGUAGUAGAUGAGAAGGACGAUGUCAAGAAAGAAGAGCAUAGGUUCCUCAGUUAGUAAGCAUGACUGAGUGAUCUUAUUUUUUGACAAAGAAGCUUACCCUAUUUCUGAAGGAAAAAAGUCAGGUUUUUGAUAGAAGUUCGAUUUUUUUCUAUGGUUUGGUUUUGCUUAAUUAUGUCAUAUUUUCAUUUAUAUUGUUUUCUCAUGAACUAUGCCCAUGUUUGGAUGACAAUACUCUUUUGUAGUUUUGGUUAUAAUUUGACUUAACUUAUCCCGAAUCAUAAGAUGAUUCAGUUUGGCAUAAAAAUAACAGAUUUAAAUCAUGGGCUAUUUUAAACAGAAACCAUGUUAACUAAUUUCAUUUAUCCUAUUUCUGCUGAGAUUUCAUCAACGCCAUUUCACAAAUUUUCUACAGAUUUUUUUUCUUGGUCACUUAGAAAACAUUUUCAAUAUGUAUAUCAAACUAAGUUUGCCUAGCUGUGAACUUAGUUAGACCAAUGAACUUAAUUUCUCAACUGAAAUAAACGAAGUAAGAAGCCCGUUAAUAUGUUAGUUUGUACUUCCUUUUGAGGACGGAAGACUUAUAAAUGUGAACUCAAUAACUCUAAAACCAUAAGAAUGGUUAAAUCAUUUGUAAAUUUAUCAAUUAUUUAAUAUAAAAAUAAUCAAAAUAAAAUAGAUUUCUGAACAUUACUAAAGUUUAAUAACUGCCGGUCCAUUUUUCUGACCAUUCUAUAUACAAUUUCCUAAAAAAUACACAACAAAUUGUGAAUUUAACCAUUUUGAAUUUAUUGAAAAACAAUGAAUACAUAAAAUAAAUUUAAAAUUUCCAAAUAAUUUUAGAUUUUUCUAUUAUUUUGUAAUUUAUAAUUGAUUCUAAUGUACAUUUACAAAUACAAAUGUUAAGUUAUAAAUUCUAAAGCUAUAAAAAACAAAUCCGGGCGUAGCCCGGAACAGUUCCUAGUAAAAAUUAAUGAUUACUAGGGGGGUUCUGAUAUGUAAAUAUCGGUAUCAGAUUGUUUAAGUUUUAAAAUGCUUCGUGAAAGCAUUAAUUAGUUUUUUUCAUGCGAUGAUUAAAUUGGUAUUGAAGAUUUAAGUUUAACCAUGAAAUGCUACAUUUUCAUUGCAUCAGAAAAAAAUUAAACAUGGAAAUUGAACAAUAGCAAAUUUAGUAGAAUAUUUUUCUUAGUAUAGGAAGUAUAUAUAUAAUUUGUUUUCUAAAAUUCUGUAUACUAAUUUUCGAUUAAAUAAUCAGCAAACUGUUUAGCCUUUUUUUUUAAACAGAUCUCCAGGAAGUAAUUUACUUAGGGCCAUGGGAUACGUAACAAAACUUAAUAAUAGAAAAGAGACUUAUAUAAAACUAACCUAUACUUCGUAUAUUCCCCCUCUUUGACUCCUAAUUCACCAAUGGAGAGUUCCCCGAUAUAAACGGUUCUAAAUUUUGAAUAAACUAUAUAUAGAACACACAACUAUCCAUAAAGUCUAAGCAUGCACCAUCGUCUCCAAUCUUUCUUCUUCUUCUUCUUUUAGACGUCUUCGUAAUCAGAGAACCCUAAUCUUUUCUUCUUGAUUUCUUCAAAUGCAUCACAAGGCUUCAAGCAGAGACACCAACAGCCAGAACUUUCCAAAACUCAAGAGUGUAGAAACUGAUCCAGAUCCUGACAUUUAUGACAUAACAUACGUCGAUGUCUCUCCCUCUGUCGGCUCCACUUCUCCUUUAUCCAAGUCCCCAUGGAUCGCACACGUCGAUCCCACCGACCUGGAACCGCCCCAUUCGGGGAUAAAGUCCACAGCCAACACAAGAGAACCUAAAAACUACUCACCUAACAUCCUCAUGGGCUCUCUCUUCCGCGAAGAAGGCCAUAUAUAUUCUCUAGCCACAUCUGGCGACCUACUCUACACGGGAUCUGACUCCAAGAACAUUAGGGUUUGGAAAAACCAAACCGAGUUCUCGAGUUUUAAAUCCAACAGCGGUUUGGUCAAAGCCAUUGUCCUAGCUGGAGACAAGAUCUUCACCGGACACCAAGACGGGAAGAUCCGCGUGUGGAAAGUCUCGUCCAAAGACUCCAACAUCUUUCGACGUAUAGGAACCAUGCCGGUUUUUCGAGACUACCUAAGAAACUCCAUCACGCCUUCUUCGUACUUCAGCUUCAUGAGAAAGAACCCGACCAGCACCAGCGCUCAGGGGUUCCGCCACGUGGACGCGAUCUCGUGCCUCACGUUGAGCGAAGACAACAAGCUUUUGUACUCCGGGUCGUGGGACCAGACGUUUAAAGUGUGGAGGAUCUCGGACCUCAGAUGCUUGGAGUCGGUGAAGGCCCACGACGACGCCGUAAACGCCGUCGUUUCCGGUUUCGACGGUUUGGUUUUCUCCGGUUCGGCGGACGGUACGGUUAAGGUGUGGAGGAGAGAGGACCAAGCUAAGGAGACGAAACAUUUCUUCUCCGAGACGCUGCUGAAACAAGACUGCGCCGUUACGGCGAUCGCGGUUGAUCAGAGCGCGACGUUAGUUUACUGCGGUUCGUCUGACGGAACCGUUAACUUCUGGGAGCGGGAUAAUAACAUGAAAAACGGCGGCGUUUUGAAGGGGCAUAAGCUCGCGGUGCUCUGCCUCGUGGCUGCGGGGAGCUUGUUGUUCAGUGGCUCGGCUGAUCUCGGGAUUCGCGUUUGGAGGAGACCGGAACGUGGUGACGGCAGAGGCGGAGACGUUGGAGGAGGAGGAGGAGAGCACGUGUGUAUUGCGGUGUUGAAGGGACAUGCAGGUCCGGUGAAGUGUAUGGCAGUGGAGAGAGAUCAAGAAUCGGCUUCGGGUGAGAAACGGUGGAUCGUGUACAGUGGGAGUUUAGAUAGGUCGGUGAAGAUGUGGCGUGUGUCGGAGAGUUCGCCGCCUAUUGAAGACCAGUCAUCGGAUCCGUUUGAUGGUCCGACUGAAUUAACGAUGGCUCCUAGCUUCUCGGGUAAAGGGAGAGAAUGAAACCAACCCCAAACACUAGUUUUGUUUCGUUUUGUAUGUGUAACGAUUUACAUUUUUUUUUCUUUUUAAUUUGGUAAAAUAUGUUCGUUAAUUAUUUCUUUUUUUUUUAAUAUGGUAAAAUGUUUUCGUUAAUUAUUUUUUCUUUCUUGUUAACAUCAUCUCAUCUACUUGAUCGAGUGUUAGGCAUAUAUCAUAAAGUUAAGGGGAUAAUACAAGUUCUUGUAAGGAUUUCAUUUCUAUUACCUUUCCUAGGUCUCGGCAUUAAUUUAGGUUCAGUUUAGGUCUUUCGAGUUUUCAGAUUUCUAGAUUCAUUCUCAUAGACAAUAUUCACAUUAUAUGAAUUGGUUUGGUUAAUAAAGAUUUUGGUUCAUAUGUAGAUUAUAACUCAGUGCAAAAUUAAGUUUGUGAAUUUUUUUCCUCAAUUUAAUUUGCCUUUAAGAGCAUGUUUAUAUCCUCCAAUCUGACGGCAGUUGAGUUAGAAAAACUGCUCCACUUAAUUCGUCAGCUCAAUUAUAAGCCCAGCUACUGAUCUCCUAUAAAACCACACACGAUAUAGGUCGGUGUUUUUCCAAUUAGGAUUUAAAAGAACAAAAUAAAUUCGUGAUAAUAUAAAAUCAAGAUAAAUAGAGCUAAAUAGUAUUUGAAUUUGUAACUUUGUAAACCAUAAACCACCGCAAUGUUAGUGUCCCUAUGGCAAUCGUGUCUAGAGCUAAUAGUCCUCCUAAUGGCAUUGGUUUCAAACCAUCCCGUGGCAAUCCAACCGGCCGGUUUACCAAUGGCCGUACUAUAGCUGAUAUCGUUGGUAAGUUAAUAGAAACAUUCAUACAAAAUAUAAACUGAUAUUUCAUUUUUGUAAUGAUUAUACUAACAUUUAUUUUAAUGCUGUUUUGUUGUUUAUAGGAGAAAAGCUAGGGCAACCAAAUUAUGCAGUUCCAUAUCUAGCACCAAACGCAAGUGGUGAUGUAUUACUAAAUGGUGUGAAUUGCGCAUUAUGUAGUGGUGGAAUUCACAGUGCUGCUGGAAGUGUAUUUGUAAGUCAUGUUCGUUUAUCUGCAGCAUACUAUAUGUCAUGUUCGUUUGGUUGGCCGAGAAGUUCAUGUUAUAAUGAGAAAGUAAAUUAUUUUUAUAAAUAUGUGUGAAAGCAUGUUUUCAGCUCAAAUGAUUUAUUCGACUGUGUAACAAAUAUAUUCGUAGUCCAUGGACCUUCUAAAACAUCCAGCAUUAACACUUGACUACUGGGCUCAUUUAGCUAAAAAACGGAAAUACGUGUAAUAUUAUUCUUUGCAACUUCACAUUAUCGUCAUUCAUCAUACUAAGAACAACAUUAUUGGAAUUUCUUGCUACUGAGGGUCCGAAUGGUAACCGCGGAAUUGGUAAUAUUAGCAAGACGGAAUUUAAGUGCGGUACGGUCCAAGUGUGGUUCGUGCGGUUUGUGGGACUAGUGCGGAUUUGACAAAAUUAGUGGUGCGGAAUUGUAUUGAUUGGUGAACAUAUAUAGUUUGCGGAAUUGAACAAUUAAAAAAAUAGUGUUAAACAAAAAUAUCAAUGAAAUCAAUAUAAUUUAUGUUUUCUUUUAUUAACUAGAAAAUUAAUUAAUAAGUAUAAAUCUAGCUAUAUAUAAUAAAAAAAUGAAUAUUACGAUAUUUAUUUAUUUUUACAAUUAAAAUUUUAAAUUUUAUGAGUAUACCAAAAUAAGAAUAACAUAUGAGAGCUAAAAAGAUUUUUUACAUUCUUUCUUAAGAAAAUAAUUUUAUAGUUAUACAUACAUAUACAUUUCUUUAGUUAAUUUAAAGUUAAGACUAAAAUUUAAAAUUCGGUUGAGCCGGUUGGACCGGCCGACCAUUGAUCCAUUUAUAGUGGUGAAUUCAAUUUUCGAAAUAUUGUAUAGAUGUUUUAUAAAUCUUUAUAAAUAGUUUAUAAGGAUUAAUUAGUCUUUUAUCACAAACUGGUUUAGUGCUAACGUGUAAAUACAUUAAAAUAACUAAUUUAUUUAAUAGUAAUCCACUAAAAAUUAUAACUACAUCAAAAAGUUGUUACGUGUUUUAGUGCUAGCAUAGUACUACUAUGCAAGAAAGUUGUCUUGAUUUAUUAGUCUUAUAUACAAAUAAAAUUUGUUAGUAAAAGAGAAUAAUUUGUCUUUCAAAAUGCACAGUCCAUUAAAAAGUACAGUCCAUUACACCAAAAAAUGCACAGUUCAUUUAAAAAAAAAUUCCAUAACAUAUUUAUAGUAUUAUCUUUUACUGUGUCAUAUGCAUAUUUUAAAAAUAUAUAUUACAAAAUAAAGUAAAUAUAAUUACUGUUGCAAAGUAUAUUUAAAAUGCACUGUCCAUUAAAAAGUAACAAAAAUGAACAGUUACAAUUAAAAACACAGUGCUAAUUGUUACAAAGUAAAUUAAAAAUGCACAGUCCAUCACGUAACAAUAACAUACAUAUUUACUCUAUUUUUAUUUAAAUUGAAAGUAACAUUUUAAGGGUUUGUGUUCAAACAAAAAAAAUGAAUAAAAAUAACUAAAACUUGAAAAACGCCUUUGAACCGCAUGAAAAUUGGAGAUAUGAGAAAACAGGUGCGGUAUUGACGAAACUUGAACAAACAAAAAAAUUGUUUGAAGAGUGCGUUAUUUAACAAAUACGCACCGCUAAUUGGUUUUCACUGUGAUUGGUGACAUUUUUAAAAACCUGUCAAAUCGAAAGAAAAACGUCCCGCACUAGUGUUUCCAUUCGUAACCUAAGUUCUUAAAAUACAUGUAUGUGUAUAUAUAUAUUAUAUAUGCGUAUGUAAUUGCGGAGUUCUAAACUUUACGGAAAACCCAACCGAAAGAUUCUUAUUUAAAAAACUUUCGGUUGGAUUUCCCUUCUAAGCUUUACGGGAAAUCCAACCGAAAGAUUCUUAUUUAAGAAAUUUUCGGUUGGAUUUCUCGUAAAGUUUAGAACUCUACAAUUAUACACCCAUAUAUAAUACAUACAUACAUAUAUAUAUAUUUUAAGAACCCAUGAUCAAGAAAUCCCAAUAAUGUUGCUCUAAUGUUUUAGGACUUCCUAUCAGAAUUCUACUAAUAUCUAACAAAUUAGAAAAUGUGAUUUUAUCAGUUUUUAUUGAUUAUUGAAAAUUGAUAAAUAGGGUUUAGGACGGCGAGGGAGGCGUGCUGUGUGACGGGAGGGAUAUUGCCAUGUGGACCAACCUAUAGCCUUUGUACGGACCGGUCAAACCAUGUGUUUUGGGACGCGUACCAUCCCAGGCCCAGCGAAGCUGCUAAUCUCCUCAUUGCUGACAAAUUCGUUACUCUUUUAAUCUUCUCGACCCUCGGGACCUUUGAGAAUCUUUAUGUAUAUUUCCCUUAUCGAAAAAUUGUUAUUUCUAAUAUGACUGUGAUAUUCUUUAUUUGUUUUGUUUUCUGUUAGCUAUGGUUAUAUAUUACCGCUGAAAACAUAAUAUUAGUUUUGUUUUGUAUGACAAAAAACAUAAUAUUGUUCCUAUUAGAAGAAUGAAUCGACAUUGAGCAACUCAUGUUUAUGGAAGUAAUAAAGAACAAAAAAUUCCGAAAAGCAAAAAAAGGGAAUAAUCAGUUAUAUGUUGUUUAUAAGAAAUACUAUUUGGCCAACUGAAGUAAGAAAAAGAUUGGACCGUUGGGCUCCAACGAUCGCAGAUAAACAUGUUGUGAUCAAGAAAAAGACGAAACUGAGCCUCUUUGAUGCACAUGCAAAAGACAAAAACGCCCUAAUAGAGAGGUUGUUAAGAAACGGAAUGGGAGAACAGAGAGGAUUGAGGAAGAAAAAGACAAGAAGAAAAGAGAGGAAUAAGGGAGAGGGUGUCAGUAGUAUGAUCUGAAAGGACUGGCCGGACCCAAUGACCGACAAUGAAAGGACGGGUGUAAUGCAAAUCGUCCCAGAUGGCGCACCACAACAUACAAACCACACUUCUCUGCUCUAUCCACUGUUUUGGGUGUGAAAGCGACUAGAGAGAGAGAGAGAGAAGUCGUUGAAAUCGAUGGUGGUUCAUGUGUGGGUCAUAUCAUCUUCCCCCGGCUGCGCGUGCUUAUCUACCUCCUUCGACCCUCCCCGACAGCUUCACUUUUGUCUGUUUGACCGUCUCUCCCUCUGCUAAAUAUAUGUAUAUAAGUUUGUUUGUAACUCAUUUUUCACUUAUAUACAAAUGGACCAGACCAGUAUGGAAACUUAAACGUCUGAUUAGUUAUUUGUCUUAGUCACAUCCUAUGUUUGGUAGAGUAUUUUCUUGACGUGCACCUGCAAAGUCGUUAUGUUUUUGUUGUUGUUGUUGUUUCAUUUCGUAUAAUAAGUUGCUUGCAAAAAAAAAAAAAAGUCGUUAUGUUUUUUAAAAAUAAUUCGAGGAAUCUUAUAAUAAUAAUUUAAGAGAAAAAAAGACAAGAAGUGAACGAUAAAUACAGAGAGAGACAGAAUGAUGGGAGGGGUUGGGACAAGGCGUGAAGAACUGUUACUACACUUUUCCCUCUGAUUGCGGCUUCCGAAUCCGAUUCCCUCCAUCACAGUUUUCUUAUAAUAUUUUCAUUAUUAGCUGAAAAUAUAAAUGGUGAAAUAUUACUAUAAAAUAUACCUACAAAUUUGAAUUUGGAUGAUAUUAUUCCAUUUAUUAUACUGUAUAAUAUAUGAACAUAUUCGUUUAUAUGUCACGAGUGAUCGCCAUAUACUGUAUAAUAUAUAGUGAUUAAUCACAAUGACUAAUUACAUAAUCUUAAAACAUUUAAACAAACAAUAUUUGGUCACAAGUCAUAAUCGUAAAAGCACACAAACAAACAAGACUACGGAGAAAUGCAUUUCCAUAUUUGCUUGUUUGCUAUACUACUGCUAUUAUUUUGUAUAAAAUGCUAUGUUUGUUUUCGUACCAUCUAGUGUGUAUUUUUUGGAUAUAAGUUUCCUUUUUAUCUCAUGUUUUAACUUUAAAUCACAAAACCCAAAUAGUUACUGAAUGGAAUCAAAUAAUUGAUUAAUCAAAUAAAACAGAUUGGAUCAGAGAUACUUUCAAAAAUCCAAAUAUUUAGUUCGGAUUAAUGUGAUUCUCUUGACCAAAUCAAACUCCAAUAUACAAAUUGUUUUAAUCGUCUUAUGUCGACUAACAUAUAUUAUGAUCCGUCUGUCAAAUUCAAAGAAACAAAACCAUAAUCUACGACGUGAAUUUAAUUGGUUAGAAAUGAUAAUACGUUAGUGUUUUACUGAAGAAUCACAAAAGCAGGGUCCAUCGUAAUUACCAUUCUAAUUAGAAAUCCAGCACUAUGUAAAAAUUUUAAUUAAAUAAGCGACUGUCAUCCGUCUUUAUUCCAGACUAUGAAAUUUAUUGCAGAUUACAUGAAAUCCAGUUAUGUAGUAUUGUCGGUUGUUGAAUCGUCUAUGUAAUCUUUUCUAUAUCAUAAUUGUAAGAUUGUAAUAAAUCAGCGUUAAAAAAAAUAAGUAUUUUCAAAAAGAACAAUCUCCAAAUAAACAAACAAAGAUUUAAAUCUUUAAUUUCAAAAGCUGCGUGAUCCCACGAAGAGCAAUUAUAAUUUAAUUAGUGUCAAACAAAGUAAUAUAACAAAUCCAAUAGUCCAUUUUCAAGUUUAAAUCUGACGAAAACGAUCGAAAGUGUUCAUUGUUUCAAACUUUGUUGAACAUGCAUUUGAUUUUCUUGGAAUGAUUUCUAAUAGUAUAUAAAAAAAUAUAUCAAAUAUAACCAUUACAUAAUUACACAUGUAUAUAAUAUGAACGUGUCACCAAUUACAAAGACUAUAAGAUUAAUUUGAUAUAUAUAAACAUGUGUUAUGUAACUAACUUUAUAGUUAAAUAUUAUUAUUGUUGAAAAUGGAUCAAUCGUCACAAUAUAACAACUAAUGUUAAAAACUGAUUCAAUCUAAUUUAACCAAAUUCGAUCUAAUUUAAUUGAUAGUUUUUAAUUGGUUUAGAUCAUUUACAGUCAGUUUUUUACUUAGAGCAUGUUGGUUUUUAAUAUAUUAACUUGUCGAAUUCCGAGUUCACUUUUCCAACAACAGACAUAUAGUUAUAUUGUUAAUUAAUAUAUGUUAUUAUUUUAGGCAUAUAUACGUAUAUAUACAUAUUAAUUAAUAAAUUGUGUUUUUAAUUUUAAUAUAUGUUUAUUAUUUUGAUUUUAUAGUUUGCACUUUGCAAUGAAGAACACAUUAAUGUUUUCCAAUUUGUGACAAUUUGAUAGUGUGUAAUUGAUAUAAUUCACAAUUAUUUUAUUUUUAAAAUAUCCAAAUUUACUAUAUUCCUUUGUUAUUAGCUUACAUUAAAUCAAUCACUUGAAUAAAUAUAAUCUGAUAAUGAUAUAUUAAAAAUCGGUUAUAAAAAAUGAUAUAUUAAAAAUACAGUAUUUUUUUAUUCUAAACAAUUGGAUAUAUCAAAAUAAAUUAUCGAAAAAUUAAGUUACUUUGUGCAUCAGAAACUUAUUAUCAUAUUUGAGCAUGAAACUUAAAAAAUCUUGUAGAAUUAAUGGGAAGGGGGCGUACAUUGAUAAACACAACAGCCUCCUCCUACCUGUGUGUUGCCCACUGCGACCUAGACCUCUCUCUCUACGCAUAAUCUCUGUAUUAUUUUAUUCCACAUGCAUUUGUUUUCCACAAGAGACGUAAUAUGUCACUAUUACUAGUUUUGACUCUUGUUUACUAAUUGAACUUAAAGACAAUGCCAUGACUCCAUGACGAAACUUUCACAUUAUUAAACAAAUAAGUACAAUAAUUGUCUUUUUGUCAAAAAUUCUUUAUAAGGUUGGUAAAGAUAGUACUAAAAUAUGUAUCAUGAUGUUUUCCCGGUAAUAUAGGUAUCAAGGAUUUAGUAAUUUUAGAACCACUACUGUGAAUGAUCACCUCGUUGAAGUUUUUGAAAAAUAGUUUACGUUUUAAACUCAUUUCAUAUAACCUCAACCUCAAGAAUAUUCAACUAAACGUUAGUUGUGCCAUAUAUAUACUUUUCACAUAAUCAAUAGUACUAUUUUUGUAGUCAAAUAUUGCGAGAUAUAUUUUCUUUUCUUUUCUUUUUUUUUUGCUAAAUUAGAGAUAUAUUUUCAUGACGGCCUUUAUGUGCAAAUUUAUAUGCUCCUUUUUUUGAACUUGAAUUUAUUAUGCUCCUUGGAAAACGUAUAUAUCAAGUUAACUCGAAUAUCAUUUUUUUAAAAUAAAAAAUACAAUAUAAGAUAAAAAUGUAAAAAACUCUUAAAGAAAACUUAAAAAAAAUAUUUAUGAAAAUUCCAUGACAAACUUACCGUUCAUUUUAAAAAAUUAAACUUAGUUUUAUAACUACAUUAUAUCAAAAAAUUGAUUUAGAAUAUCAUUAAAAGUUUCCAUGGAUAAAACAAUAGCUUACAUCAAACAAUUAGUUUACAAUUCAAUAAACAUCCAAUAUUCACACUGCAAACAAAGUGAGUUUGUAAGAAAAUUAUAAUAAUUUAAAAUCUGAGAUUUCGUUUUACCUAAGGGCAUCUCCAACCCUAUUCCAUUUUUGACUCCAAACUCAAUUAUGGAGUAAAAUCUUUUCUAACCCCACUCCAUAUUCAACUCCAAAAUGGAGUAAUAGCUAGGGUUACUCCAUUUAUGGAGUAAUCUUACUCAUUACUCCAUUUUGGAAAUGGAGUAACCCUAGCUAUUACUCCAUUUUGGAGUUGAACUUUUUAUAUUUAUGAAAUGGUCCUUUUGAUUUUUAAUGUUUUUAAUUCAUACUUAAAAUAACAUAAUAACAUAAAAAAAUAUAAUACUCCACAAAAGAUUACUACUUUAUAGUUUACAGAAAAUAUGCAUAAACUCAUAAAAGUCAAAACUAAGAAUAAAAAAUAUAAAAUAAAUAUAAUAUAAUAUAAAUAAGUAAUUUAAUAAUUAAUUCGGUAAAUUGUUUUCGAAACUACCAAAAGCGGUGAAGUAUUAUUCAAACGGAAUAUAUGAGUUUUUUAAUUUUGUGGGUCAAAAUUUUGAUUGAUAACAUUUGUACUUGUUGAACUUGAUAUAUGCACAAACAAACAAUAGGAUCCAAUACAUAAUUCAAAUUACAAAAAAAAAACUUUAUUUUUUUUUAUGUUUUUUUGAUGCAUAAAAAUAUUUUUGAAUUAGAAAAAUUGCAUAUGAUAAAAUUUGCACGAAUUGAAAUUGGAAGAUAAUCUCUAGUUGUAUUUUUAAUGAUAAAUAUUUAAUUUAAAUAAAAUAUAUUAUUAUAGAAAUUUUGUAAACAUAAAAUAGUUGGGUUAAUUGUUAAUUUUUUAUAAGUUGAAGGUACUAAUAAUAAUUAUAUACUAAAUGAAAAAAGAACCCUUUUGUUUGGAGUAAAAAAUAGAGUAAUACAUUGGAGUAAAAUCCAACUUCAUUUUGGAGUUACACCAUUUUGAAGUAAAAUUUGGAGUAAUACAUUGGAGAUGCUCUAAGAUAGAAUAACGAAUAAAUGUUUCAUGUGUUCAAACAGAAAGCCUUGAAAGAAGAGCCGCCUACGUAUGAAGUGAGCCGACUAGUAGUGUUAAGGGAGCAAACAGAGCCAACACUGUUCACAAUAAUCCAUAGCCGAUUCAACGAUUCCAAAAGAGACAAACUUUUAAGACAAGAGAGAGAGAAAAGUCUUUCUUCUCCAUCACCAUCUCUAUCUGCGCAUGUUUCCUCCAUAAAAACCAAAACAAACCUCCCCAAAAGCUCCAACCUUUAACCCAAAAGCUCCAAUCUUUCUUCUUUCCCGCGUCUUCUUUGAUGACGACGUCUGACUCCGGCGAAUCACGACGCACGGCGAUGAGGCCUCACGGCGGAAUAACGGGGCUUCCACCGGCCACGGAGCAGCAAGAGCAGCUCCCGUGUCCUCGCUGCGACUCAACCAACACCAAGUUCUGUUACUACAACAACUACAACUUCUCCCAGCCUCGCCACUUCUGCAAAUCCUGCCGCCGUUACUGGACUCACGGCGGAACUCUUCGCGACAUUCCCGUCGGCGGCGGCACUCGCAAAGCCGCGAAACGCUCCCGCACUUGCUCCUCCUCCGCCGGAGUCCUCAACGCUCCGUUGCAAGCGACGCCUGUUCUCUUCCCUCAAACGUCGCUCUCUAACGACGUUUGCCACGCCGUUACCGAGAACGACGGAAAGGGAAGUUCUUUGUCUCUCUGCGGCAGUUUCACGUCUCUCCUGAACCAAAACGCCAACGCAGCGAGUGCCACGACGCAUGGAACAGGCGGGUUUGGAAGCGGACUCGGGUCGGGUUAUGAUGACGUCAGCUUUGGACUCGGAAGAGCGGCUUGGCCGUUUUCGACCGUGGGCGACGCUGCAACGACGAAUGUGGGGAGUAACGGUGGUCAUCACGCGGUUCAGAUACCCGCCACGUGGCAGUUCGAGGGUUUAGAGAGCAGCAACGCCGGUGGGUUCGUUCCCGGUGAGUACUUUGCGUGGCCGGACCUCUCCAUCACAACACCAGUGAGCUCACUCAAAUGAAUGCAAAGCUUCUGUCUUUACUAGAGGGUUUCUAUUGCUUUGGCUUUGUCUGAUCUCUUAGUCUUAGUGUGUCUGGUCGUUUUAGAACUUGUGUAAUGAAACUAGAAAACAGAGCAAGUUUGUGUUUUUCUUUGUCUCUAAGAUCUUUACCUUGUUGCUUUGGACUCUGUUUUAUAAUUGCAAUGAUGAUACUUGUUUUUGGAACAACUCUUAAUGGGAACAGUUAGGUCUUGUAAGGAAUUGAUCUUGUUCAAUGGAUGGUGAUGAUGAUCUACACAACAUAUUACUCUUUAACCUAUGUAAUUCAUCUUGCACUUGUAUUACUUCUGUGUUAGACUGAUCCCCAGAGGAGAAAACUUGAGUACCGUUGUUGUUCACUUCAAUCCAGCUCAAUCCUGGAUCUUUAGCAGAAGCUAAUCCUCUAAUCUUCCUUCUCAUCUCUGCAACAUCCUCCCAUCUUCCUUUCACCGCAUAAAGAUUCGACAGUAGUAUGUAUGUUGCAGUGUCUUCUGGAUCAAGUCUCAGGAUCUGCUCAGCCGCGUAUAGCCCCAUCUGCAAGUUUCUUGUGUUGACACAUGCGCUUAACAGAGUUCUCCAGAGCUCUGUUUGGUUAUUUCCAGGAAGAGACUCUUGUAUCAGUUCCAGUGCUUCGUCUACUAACCCAGCUUUAGAUACCAAAUUCACCAUGCAAGAAUAGUGCUUAAAUCCGGCUUUGAUGCCUCUCUCCUUCAUUUGGUUCCACAGGAACUUACCUUGCCGAGUUGAUCCGCUGUGGCUGCAGGCUACUAGUAAAGACAAGUACGUUACUGCAUCAGGGGUGAGACCGUUUUGUAGGAUCUGUUCAAAGAAACUCAGAGCCUUUUCUAACAUUCCAUGUUGACUAUAAGCUCCUAGCAUUGAGUUCCAACAUUUCAAAUCCGGAUUUGAAACAAGAGAGAAUACUGAUUCUGCAGCACUGUAUUUUCCGGUUUUCCCAUACAUGUCUACUAAGGCUCCACAUACCGACAUCACACUAUCGAAUCCUGUCUUCACGGUAAGAGAAUGGAACACUUCACCUUGUCUUAGCAAUGCCAUAUCUGAACACGCUCCCAAGACACUGCUCAGGGAAAAACCAUCAGUUCUAUUUUUCUCUCUGUACAUUUCAACGAAGAGUUGGACAGCACACUCGCUGUUUCCUACUCUCGAUUGUCCAACGAUCAUCUCAGUCCACAGAACAAUAUCCCUCUCUCUAAUCACGUCAAACACCUUCUGAGCAGCUUCAGCUUCCCCGUUCUUGAAGUACAUGGACAGGAGCGUUGUCCCAACAAAAACACUCCUUUCAUAUCCCAAUUUCAUUACCUGUCCAUGGAAAAGCUUUCCAUGGACGAACCUCUCUGUUUCCCCUGUCGCACAUAUAACAGCAGAGAGAGUAUAUUCAUCUGGCCUCGGUGUGGACCUCCUCCGUAACCUUCCAUACAUAAGAAUCGCUUCCUCUCCAAAUCCAUUCUCUGAACAACCCGAGAUAAUCGAGUUCCAUGCAAUCAAAUUUGGGUUAUGAAUCCUCUCAAACACAAAGAGCGCUUCUUUCACAUCCCCACAACUGCAAUACAUAUCUAGAAGUGCGUUCUCCACAACUGAAUCAGCUAAACCAUCCGAGACUAUUAUCCGGGCAUGGAUUACUUUCCCCAGUGAAUAGCUUCCCAACUUACUACAAGCACUCAGCACCAUCGAAUACGUGAACUGCGUUGGAACAACACCAGACAUCAACAUGGUUCUAAACAGCGCAAGUCCUUCUUCUACCUCAUCAUUUCUCAAACUCCCAGAUAUCAUCGUGUUCCAAACCACCGCAUCUCCACCUUCUACACACUCAAAGACCCUCCUUGCGGAUUCUAACUCAUUACAACUAGAGUACAUCCCCAAAACCGAUGUCUGGACAACCACAUUGUCUAAAAAUCCAACCUUUAUGAUCUGAGAAUGUAGCAAAGAUCCCAUCAAAACAUCCUCGAGCAAAGCGCAGACCUGCACUAAGCUAGUGAAAGUCGAGCUAUUGGGCUUCAAGGACUCAGACGCCAUACGGGUUACCAGACCAAAAGCGUAACUUGCGUGGCUUUGGUUCCGGGAAUACGCUGAACAAAGCGCGUUGUAAGAAACCACGUUUCUCUGAGGCAUUGUGUCGAACAGCUUCCGCGCUUGUUCUAGAGAGCCGCACCUCACGUACAUCGAGAUGAGGUUGUUGCUUGCGUACGGAGAGUCGUGAGCUGCGCCCCCGGUGAGGACGAGUGCGUGGAGCUGACGCGCCCGUUUUAGUGCGGUGGUCGAAACGCAUCUCCGUGUAAGCUCGACGACGGAAGAAGCUAGUUCGUUAAGUGGCAUAGAAGCUACGUAACGUAAUGGGACUCUAAACGCCGCGUUUUAAUAUAGCUAGAGAGCUUCUUUAUAUUAAAACGCCGCGUUUUAAUUUUGUUUCAAUCUUUAAUGUCUGUCACUCACGCGCCUCUGUUUUUCUAUUGCGAGCUAGCUGCAUUAUGAUCAUCAUCAAGUCCUGCUUGAUUACCCUUUUUAUUUAAGGACAUCGGUGCUGGCUGUGCUGAGGUUAAUCCUUACCUCUUUAAGUUAUUUGAGUAUCAAUACUGUAUAUGAUUUUUUAUUUUGUUUAAUGUGAGAUCAGCCAUUUCUAGCUCUUGUACUCUAGUCUUUUUAAGUGUUUGUCUAGAGUUUCCAAAAUUCCCUAAUGCAUUUGAUUGACUCCUGCUUAACAUCCACUGUAUAUCCUGGUAGAUGCUUCAUCUUUAAAGAGAACAUUUGUCUUGCUGGAGACCUGUAUGGUUGAACAAAAGUGGAAGUUAUGUUCCCAUGCUUUUGAAGAUGCUAAAGACUGUCUUAUUUCAUUGGGUCGGGUAUGAAAACACUGGAAGAAACUCAUUCCAUACAACCCAUAAGAUCUUCUAUGACGGUUUGCUUACUGUAAACUCACCUAUUCAUUUAAUCACCUAACUGAAACUUCUCUUAUACUGAGGGAGGUUAACGUUUCAAGAACUCUGUCUAAUCCAAAGAGUAAUUAGGAAGUCAUGUUCAACAAUGUUAGCUGCUACGAGAAGUAUUUAUCUUAAUCUCUCAGUUGAGAUUCUCUGAGAUAGAAGGAUCAGAUGCCAAGGCAGUCUCCUUUCCAGAUCAAAUUUCAAACUUAUUGUCAUAUGUAGAAUUCUGUAAGUUCGAGAAUCUCAUGUCUAAUCAAAUUUUCUUGGGUUCUGACACAAGUGAGUUCUGUUUCUGUAUAGAGAUACUACAUUCUUGGCUGGUGCAGGAGCUAUACCAAUCAGAGAGCAUUAUGUUCUUGUCUCCACAAUCCAAACCCGAACGGUAUAAGAUACUCUUGUUUUAAACCAAUGUGGAACUGCCUCAUCCAAAUACAGCAAGCAAUGUAACCCAUAAUAUCAAGAAUCACAAGGGCUCUUAUUCAUAUCAUAAAUAUAACAAAGCGUUAGAGAUACACACUCCAGAGGGGAUAGCUUUAAAAUUUCAGGAUACUCAAACUCAAUACAAAGUUACACUUUUAUCAGUUGUAUUUUGCUGCUAUUUCCUGUAACAGUAGAGAAAGCUGUUGAGGCUUGGUGAUCAUAGCCAUGUGACCAGCUUCUUCGACCACUUUCACUUCAUUAGGUUCGUAGUUACUAAUCAUCCACCUCUGAAUCUCCUCUGGAACCACAUUGUCACCUUCGCAGACGAUAAACACUCUCUUCAUAGAUCCAUACCUCUCCUUGGUCAGCAAAUCUUUACCUUCCAUUUCCUUUGGGUAUAACCUGCUCGGUUUCACCAACGUCAUGGCUAGUUCUAGAUCCUGACAAUCAAAAUAUAUUAGUAUAUUACCAACAUUAGUCACCUAAUCUUGGUUUGUAAAACUGAUUAUGCCAUAAGCAAGUCCAGGCAGUCUUAGUCCCCAAAUUUUUAAAAGUUAAUAUAUAUUUGAUUUGAUGGUCCUUAAAUUAUAAUAAUUCUUUAUUAAGAUUUAUACUAUUAUAAUCCCAAAAAAAAACUCAGCCUCUGGUCAUAGAUGGAUGUAAUGAAUGUAAAACUGACCUCUGACUGGCAGUUACUAUAUGCCUUCUCCUUCAUGAAGCUAUUACCGAACAUAACUGAACUUGGCGGCUGUCCUGGUCCUUCCUCAAAUGUAAACUCACAAUCCAUGGCGAAUCCAUCAGGGAGACGUUUGAAAUACUACAGACAAACAGAAAGUGACAUACAAUUAUCAGAUAAGAUAUAUCCUCAAGAGUGGUCCCAAUAACUUUAUUUUAUUUUUCUUUGAGAUUUUUUUCUGGCUACCUCUUGAAUGAGAACGGAAGGAGGAGACUCAUGGUGUGGCAUAUAAGCAGAGAUGAAGAUUCCGACAGAGAUUUUGGUCGGAAACCUUUCCAUAGCGAGAGAGGUUCCAAUGCCACCAUAGCUAUGACCAACAAGGACCACCUUCUCUUCCUCAGGGAGAGACUCCAUGAAACUCAUCAAAGGCUCUAGAUACUCGGAGACAGAACGAACCUCGUCGAGCCUCCUCUUGUCGAUACCGGACCCACCAAGUUCAAUAGCUGUCACUCGUUGACCAUUGCCCUUGAGCUUUCCCGCCAGCUUGAACCAGCACCAUGCCCCAUGACAUGAUCCGUGGACAAGCACGAAAUGGUGGUGGUGUUGUUGUUGCAUGUGCUGUGUUUGCAUUUGAUAUUGUUUGGUAAGUGAUGUUAUCCUUGUCUAUUCGUGUGUGUAUAUAUAGCCAUUCAUCGGUAAAGGUGGAACCAUUUAAUUGUUUUUUAACCUAUUAAGGGAUAUGUAUCCCACAUUGGAAAAUCAAUGGGACAUUAAGUAAUAUAUAAAGGGUUAGGGCCAAUCCACUAAUUGCCAAUUGGUUUUGAGUUGGAAGCCCAUAAUAAACCUGAAUCUAACAUGGUAUCAGAGCCCAGAUCCUAAUAAGUUAAACCCCUAAUUAAUAUUAACCCUAUCCGACCGGGUAUAUAGGUUGUAAUUGACUCGCUCGACCGAGUAUAACUGUCUUAAAGUUCCGAGAUUUCUGGCCGAUAAGAGUCAUCAUCUCGAGGAGGAGUAUUAAGGGAUAUGUAUCCCACAUUGGAAAAUCAAUGGGACAUUAAGUAAUAUAUAAAGGGUUAGGGCCAAUCCACUAAUUGCCAAUUGGUUUUGAGUUGGAAGCCCAUAAUAAACCUGAAUCUAACAUAACCGGUUGGAACCGAUUAUCAAGGAAAGAGUAUCAACCAUAACUCAUAUGAUUCACUCAAUCACUAUAAUCGCUCCAUCAUAUAUUCUUCUUAAUGAUUAUAUGAUCUUCACAUUUAUUGUUUGAUUCAUAUAGCUCUAAUAUAUAAAGCUUUGUAACUCUCUUUGUAUUAAGAACACAAUUCAUACAUUUCUCAUAAGUUAUUACCGAUAGGACUGGUUCUAGUUUGGAACAUGUGUAGUUUUAGAUUCCAACAAGGUAAGAACAGUAAAACGAAAAAAACUAGAAUACGAGCUAAUUACAAUUAUAUAUUGGGUUAACGCCUCCUGCGGUAUAAGAUCUAACUAUAUUACGAGUUUAUUAAUGCUAUUAAAUCAGUUAAUUAUUAUCUGAUUUAAUACAGUGAUUUUCUAAAGCUACUUUAAGUUAUUAGUUAAUUGAAAGAAAGACUAUUUGGACGGUUAAAGAUAAGCACGUGGAAUACAAGAAAUUCAAUGCAUUAUGAAAUGAUAAAUGUCAAAUCUGAAACUGUUCAACCUUUGUUUUGGUAUCUUUCUCUUAAAAUAUUGUCAGUGUCAGAUCUCUUUGUUAAUAGGCUAUUAGGCCACAUUGCAACGUUUCCGAGUCAAUCUUGUCUGCCGAAGCUAUAAACUAUUUGAGAAAGUAAGACAAUAUUAGGUGAGAUGAUUUUAUACUAGCAUUGUAUGAUUUUUUUUUUUUUUGAGAAAUGGUAUUUGUAUGUUUUGUUUGAGAGAGUGCUUUUUAUUUGUGCUUUAAAUAUGAAAGAAAUCUUUGACUGUGUAUAGUUUCACAUUUUCAAUUUUAACAAUGUGUGUAAUAAUAUUUAAUAAAUAUAUUUUCAAAUAUAUCUAGCUAUCUUUAUUAAGUGUUCUAAAAAGAAAGAUAUAUUUUUUUCUGUCAACAAAAAAGAAUGAAUCUCGGUAUAUACAGUUAUAAAUCUAUAAUGUGACUCUAGAGAAUUUACAUAGAUAUUUUCUAUUAAUGUGAUGGUAUUCUUCAUUUUCAAAAUCCUAAUAUGUUUACUAUUUUUUGUAGGCACCAAAUUUACUAGAUAAAGAAAUUUGAUAUGUAAAGCAAAAAAUUUACAAAUAACAUGUAUAAAAAAUACAACAAUAUAAUAUCGUAGUUGGAAAAGAACUAGGUUGAAGCAGAGUCGAGAUUAAAUCUCUUUCCUUAAUCCUUUAAACACCCGUAGUGUGCCGGUUUGAUACGUUUAAGAAUCCCAUGAUACAACUACCUACAUCUUCAGUCUCACAGUACUUGAGAACCAAAGCAUUUCGAACAUAUUUAUAUGUUAUACUCUCAGGCACAAAACAAAAAAAAAACUUAGGAGAAAGUGGUUUGUAUUGGAUGUGUGUGUUUGGGCUAACAAGAUUAAUCUUAUUUGCAUAUGAAUUUGGGCUAACAAGAUUAAUCUUAUUUCCUUAAUUCCAAAACUUGAUCUAGCCCAAUUAUCUCUUUUCUUAAUACACCAAAGUGUCUACAAAGUUUUUAUAACUUUGUUUUAGUUUCUACAUUUAUAUACAAGAGGAUUUCCACCUCAUAUUUCUAAUAUGAAUAUUUUACAAAUAAUUUCAUAUUAGACUUUCAUUUCUCAUUCAAAAUGAACUUCGUUUUUGACAUAUGAUUUCACUAUAUUAUAGUGCUCAUAACAAUGAAUCCAACGAUUCCUCAAUCCGGUCAUUCCGACAAUCAAAUUGCUCGAAAAAAUCACUGGAAUAUUGGUCAUAGCCAUUUGUCCAAAAAACAGUUCCAACAUUUUUAUUUACUCUCAUUUUUAUGUUUAGUAGUAGCGUUAUGUUUUAAAAUUACGAUACCGAACAACUAGGGCGAAAAAGCCCUAAAAAUCUGAACGGAACUAAUCAGAAAAAUAAAUAUGAACUGAACUGAAUCCAACAUAAUUAUUUAAAUAGAUCUUGUUUUAUGGUAUUUCAGAUUUUGAGUAUCAAUGAACUGAAUCCUAAAGCAAACAUAUAUCUGAAAAGAACUCAAAACAUUUUUUUAAGUAUGCUACAUGAAAACAGAAUCCCGAAUAAGUAUCCAAAAUACUCAAUAUUUUUAAUGCAAACUAUAAAAAUACCGAUUACACAAAUAAUUAAUUCAACUACUCAGGUAGAUGUAUAUUUGCUAUUUGAUCAACAAUUGAGGUUCUUAUGUUUAAAAUUUACAUUCUAACUUUGAUUAUGAGUAGAAAUUUGCUUUUGAAGUUUAAACAAUGUUAUUUUAUUUUGAAAUUCAAAUAAUAUUUCAUGCAUUUAUAGAGUUUAUAGAGUUGUUAGUUACUUUUACGUUUCUCUCCUACAACUAAUUUUAAAUCAAACCACCAACUUUGCCUAGUGUAAAUUGUGUAAACUUCAAAAUUUUGCGAACUAAUAUGUUUGCUUUUGAAUCACAAAUCUAAUCUAUUAAAAUUGAAGUACAAAUUUGAUUUAACCCUGAAUUUUACUCAAUAAUUACAAUGACAAACCACUGACCAAAACACAGUAGUUUUACACAUUCUUUAACCAAUUAAUUUUGUAGACUAAUAAAAUCACUAAACCAAUCUGUCUGGUAUACAAUAUCUUCUCUAUUAAAAGAGAAAUACCAUUUUUAUCUACUACAAAAUUCUAGGUCCAUAUAUUCAAAUAAUAUUUUUAUUGUUUACAUUAGUUUAUUUAAUGUAUAACAUUUCUAAAUAAUUAUAAAGAUAUUAAUAACAAAUCCAUUUUAACUAUAAAUUUAAAUUUUAGUUUUAGGAUAGCAAAAUCUGUUGAGGAAAAAUCUAACAAAAUCUUUUUAAAAUUUUAAAUAUUCUUUUAAUUAAUGCACUGAUUAAUUUCACAAUUAGUAGUAUAAUGUUAUUAUAAAUUAAUUUUAAUUACAUUUUUAUUGUAAACAAAAUAAUGAAAUUAUUUGCUAAUUUUAUAAAUUUUAUAAGUAUAUUCUACAUUAUAUUAAAAUAGAAGUAAUUAAUGAAUUACAUAUUAAAAUUAUGUUUUUUGUGCAAACAUAUUAAAAUUAUGUUGAAUUGGUAAACCAAUAUAUUUUUAAAAAAUACUUUCAUUAAGAUAUAUAAAUAAAAUAUCAUUCACCGUUUAAAGUGACUAUAAUAUCAUUCACCUUUUAAAAUGAUUAAAAUUCAUAAAUUAUGUAAUAAUUUUUACAAAAAAAAUAAAAUUGUAACAUAUGUUAAAUUUUAAUAUUUAGAACUAUAUAUCAUCUAUUUAGUUAUUUUUAAAAUGACAGCAAUAUAUUAUCAUAAAUUAGUAUAUACAAAAUAACAUAAAUUUUUACUAUUUUCCAUUAUUUUAUUAAAAUUGUAAAUUUAUUUUACUAUGAAAAUUAUAAAAUAAAAUAACUAAACUAAAAGAAAAUUAGAAUACGACACAUAAUCUAAACAUAAAUCUCCGCAUCACAAAGAAAAAGAAAAAUACUAUAUUAACACUAACUCGAUAAAGGUCUGGAACACAAAUGAACGCGAUCAAGCACCAAUCCAAAAAAAAAAAUAGAUCAGAAGAAGAAUAAUCAACGGAAUACCAAAGUCACCACAAAGCCGGAAAACACAUGCCUAAAGUACAACCACCAGCUAAGAGGUAAGAACCACCUCACAAACAAAACAACCACAUAUAAGGGGCUCAUGCCAAUGAAAAACUCACAAAACUCUGCAUAGAAGAGACUAACUCAACGCACCUACACCAAUGAAAGCAUGAGAAGAAGAAAACAACCUAAGGGAGGAAGAAUAGAAGCCAACCACAGAGAAACCAAAGCUCAAGUUUGAGACAAGAAAUAAUCUUCCAAGCCUACAAAACAUACACGAAAGAAAACACUUCCAACCCUGGAGUGGCAAACAUGGCGAAAUGGAAAGCCACCAGAGACACAACCAGCAAUGAAAAGUGUAACGAGAUGAGAGAACAAAAAGAGAAAAAGAGACUACACAAAAUCAGCAAACUAUGGAACACAAAUGAACGCGAUCAAACACCAACCCAGAAAAACCAAAAAAGCGAAUCAAAGGAAGAAUAAUCACCGGAAGACCAAAGUUACCAUGAAGCUGGAAAACACAUGCUUAUAGCACUAUCACCAGCUAAGAGGUAAGAAACACCUCACAAACAAAACAACCAUAUACAAGGUGCCACACCAAUGAAGAACCACAAAGCUCUGAACAGAAGAGACGAAAGCUCCAAGAAACUAACUCCACAAACCUAUACCAAGGGAAGCAUGAGAAGAAGAAAAACAACCUAAAGGAGCGAGAAUGGAAGCCAACCACAGAGAAACCAAAGCUCAAGUUUAAGACAAGAAAUAAUCUUCCAAGCCCACAAAACAUACGCGGAGGAAAACACUAUCUAAACCUGGAGUGGCAAACAUGGCGAAAUGGAGAGUCACUAGAGAUGAAAAGUGCAGUAAGAUGAGAGAACAAAGAGAGAAAAUGAAACUACAAAAAAUCAGCAAACUAUGGAGUCGUCCUCGAGCUAUGAAGAGAACAUAAAGCCAGAUCACGAAAAACCAGAUCUUGAAAACCAAGACGCGCAUGGACUAUCAACGGCAAGCCAACUACGAGGAAGACAACAUAAAAGACAACUAAACUCAGACCCAACCCAAGGAGAUGUAAUUCCUAACAUUAGCCAAAUCUAAGGAAGAAUAUGACAAAUAUUGACCAGAACAGCGUACAACAUCAUGAGAAACAAUUGCACAAC